AGUGAACGCUGGCGGUAGGCCUAACACAUGCAAGUCGAACGGCAGCACAGUAAGAGCUUGCUCUUACGGGUGGCGAGUGGCGGACGGGUGAGGAAUACAUCGGAAUCUACUUUUUCGUGGGGGAUAACGUAGGGAAACUUACGCUAAUACCGCAUACGACCUAAGGGUGAAAGCAGGGGAUCUUCGGACCUUGCGCGAUUGAAUGAGCCGAUGUCGGAUUAGCUAGUUGGCGGGGUAACGGCCCACCAAGGCGACGAUCCGUAGCUGGUCUGAGAGGUUGAUCAGCCACACUGGAACUGAGACACGGUCCAGACUCCUACGGGAGGCAGCAGUGGGGAAUAUUGGACAAUGGGCGCAAGCCUGAUCCAGCCAUACCGCGUGGGUGAAGAAGGCCUUCGGGUUGUAAAGCCCUUUUGUUGGGAAAGAAAAGCAGCAGGUUAAUACCCCGCUGUUCUGACGGUACCCAAAGAAUAAGCACCGGCUAACUUCGU
rnacentral:rRNA from 1 species